rnacentral:rRNA from 1 species
CAGCAGCCGCGGGAAAACGGAGGGUGCAAGCGUUAAUCGGAAUUACUGGGCGUAAAGCGCACGCAGGCGGUCUGACAAGUCAGAUGUGAAAUCCCCGGGCUUAACCUGGGAACUGCAUUUGAAACUGUCAGGCUGGAGUCUUGUAGAGGGGGGUAGAAUUCCAGGUGUAGCGGUGAAAUGCGUAGAGAUCUGGAGGAAUACCGGUGGCGAAGGCGGCCCCCUGGACAAAGACUGACGCUCAGGUGCGAAAGCGUGGGGAGCAAACAGGAUUAGAUACCCCAGUAGUCCCUGUCUCUUAUAC